GGGCGCUUAGCUCAGUUGGUAGAGCGCUGCGCUUACAUCGCAGUGGUCGGGGGUUCGAGUCCCUCAGCGCCCA
rnacentral:tRNA from 3 species